AUACCAUGUGGUGUCACACUCAGCAAUAAAAGGUGGAAACAGGAAGAAGAGGGGAGGGGUGGGCUCUCGUCUGGAAGACGUCGGUCCUCCUCUCGAACACCGGCUACGUGCGUUGAGGCCCUGCUUCAAGGACGUGGUCAAUCAUCGCUCAUUUGUGGGAAGUAGAGAUUUAGCUCCGGCGUACAGCCUGCCUGCCUGACGUGAAGCUGCUCGAACAACCUCCAACAGACUGAGAGCCCUGUAAAUUGCAUCUAGCCACAGCAGGAGGGUCCCAAUCUGUAACAAAGAUGACAACGUUGUACAUGUAUAUGCAUCGUGUUGUCCAACACUCAGUACAUUAGUUUACAUCUAUGAACAGAAGCCAUGUUGUCAAUGCAGAUCAAGAUGGGUUAAGUACAUGGAUUAUAAGCAAAUAUGAGUAAAAUGCUGCUGCAAGAAGCUCUACUAAUGUUUAACAGCAAGUAAUUAGGACGAGCUUUAUUACCACGACAAAAAUCACUUGCUAUCAUUGCUAAAUGAACAAUGUCAGUGUACAGUCCCUGAAAGCCUCAGAGAUUUAAUGAAAAUAACUUUCAAUACUCAAUUGAAAAAGCCAUUGAGAAGAUAGGCUGAUGCUUUCAGAAAUUCAUUCCUAUUUAGUACUCUGAAUUGCUGGACAUAGCUGAAAACACUAAUCUGGGUUACCAAGAAUAGAGUAAUGGUAGUACUGAGUAGACGUGUAAAGCUCUUUUCCUAACAUUUAAGUUAAGCACAAAAUAGUGUUUGCAAUGAACAGAGCAGCAGCCUACAGUCAAUAAUACAGAAGGAAGCUGUGCCAGCCUCCCAUACCUAAAGGUUACAGGAUAAUUCAGGAAACUAAUAAAUAGGAUGAGUCACUUCCAUAUUUUCUAGUCUGUACCAGGUGUUUCACCCACAAAAUUAAUUUUUUAUUCAAUAGAUCCAAAGUUUACCCACCAUUAUAAAUGGACUAUUUGAUGCCCAAUUAGAUUGGCAAUAUUAAGAUCAUUUUAUUUUAAGCUUCAUAGCUUUUCAAAACACGUACAAAUAAAAUACUCAUUACAAAAUUCCAUUUACUGAAGUUUUUCCAUGAAUAUACAUCAAGCGUAAUCCCAGCACACAGAUAAGUGACUUACAGAA
rnacentral:lncRNA from 1 species